rnacentral:rRNA from 1 species
AACGAACGCUGGCGGCAGGCCUAACACAUGCAAGUCGAGCGAGAUCUUCGGGUCUAGCGGCGGACGGGUGAGUAACGCGUGGGAAUAUGCCUCUUGGUACGGAAUAGCCUCGGGAAACUGGGAGUAAUACCGUAUGUGCCCUUUGGGGGAAAGAUUUAUCGCCAAGAGAUUAGCCCGCGUUGGAUUAGGUAGUUGGUGGGGUAAUGGCCUACCAAGCCGACGAUCCAUAGCUGGUUUGAGAGGAUGAUCAGCCACACUGGGACUGAGACACUGCCCAGACUCCUACGGGAGGCAGCAGUGGGGAAUCUUAGACAAUGGGGGCAACCCUGAUCUAGCCAUGCCGCGUGAGUGAUGAAGGCCUUAGGGUUGUAAAGCUCUUUCAGCUGGGAAGAUAAUGACGGUACCAGCAGAAGAAGCCCCGGCUAACUCCGUG